rnacentral:rRNA from 1 species
GAGUUUGAUCAUGGCUCAGAUUGAACGCUGGCGGCAGGCCUAACACAUGCAAGUCGAGCGGAUGACGGGAGCUUGCUCCUUGAUUCAGCGGCGGACGGGUGAGUAAUGCCUAGGAAUCUGCCUGGUAGUGGGGGACAACGUUUCGAAAGGAACGCUAAUACCGCACACGUCCUACGGGAGAAAGCAGGGGACCUUCGGGCCUUGCGCUAUCAGAUGAGCCUAGGUCGGAUUAGCUAGUUGGUGGGGUAAUGGCUCACCAAGGCGACGAUCCGUAACUGGUCUGAGAGGAUGAUCAGUCACACUGGAACUGAGACACGGUCCAGACUCCUACGGGAGGCAGCAGUGGGGAAUAUUGGACAAUGGGGGCAACCCUGAUCCAGCCAUGCCGCGUGAGUGAAGAAGGCC